rnacentral:rRNA from 1 species
UACGAAGGGGGCUAGCGUUGCUCGGAUUGACUGGGCGUAAAGGGCGCGUAGGCGGUUCGUACAGUCAGACGUGAAAUUCCUGGGCUCAACCUGGGGGCUGCGUUUGAUACGUGCGGACUUGAGUGCGGAAGAGGGUCGUGGAAUUCCUGGUGUAGCGGUGGAAUGCGCAGAUAUCAGGAGGAACACCGAUGGCGAAGGCAGCUCGCUGGGACGGUACUGACGCUGAGGCGCGAAAGCGUGGGGAGCGAACAGG